rnacentral:rRNA from 1 species
GACGAACGCUGGCGGCGUGCUUAACACAUGCAAGUCGAACGGAAAGGCCCAGCUUGCUGGGUACUCGAGUGGCGAACGGGUGAGUAACACGCGGGUGAUCUGCCCCUGACUUUGGGAUAAGCCUGGGAAACUGGGUCUAAUACCGGAUAUGACCUUUCCUCGCAUGGGGUUUGGUGGAAAGCUUUUGCGGUUGGGGAUGGGCCCGCGGCCUAUCAGCUUGUUGGUGGGGUAAUGGCCUACCAAGGCGACGACGGGUAGCCGACCUGGGAGGGGGAUCGGCCACACUGGGACUGAGACCCGGCCCAGACUCCUACGGGAGGCAGCAGUGGGGAAUAUUGCGCAAUGGGCGGAAGCCUGACGCAGCGACGCCGCGUGGGGGAUGACGGCCUUCGGGUUGUAAACCUCUUUCAGCAGGGACGAAGCGAAAGUGACGGUACCUGCAGAAGAAGCACCGGCCAACUACGUGCCAGCAGCCGCCGUAAAAC